rnacentral:rRNA from 1 species
AAUGAACGCUGGCGGCAGGCCUAACACAUGCAAGUCGAGCGAGCAUUUCGGUGCUAGCGGCGUACGGGUGAGUAACGCGUGGGAACGUGCCCUUUUCUGCGGAAUAGUCCUGGGAAACUGGUGGUAAUACCGCAUACGCCCUUUUGGGGAAAGAUUUAUCGGAGAAGGAUCGGCCCGCGUUGGAUUAGGUAGUUGGUGGGGUAAUGGCCCACCAAGCCGACGAUCCAUAGCUGGUUUGAGAGGAUGAUCAGCCACACUGGGACUGAGACACGGCCCAGACUCCUACGGGAGGCAGCAGUGGGGAAUCUUAGACAAUGGGGGCAACCCUGAUCUAGCCAUGACGCGUGAGUGAUGAAGGCCUUAGGGUUGUAAAGCUCUUUCAGCUGGGAAGAUAAUGACGGUACCAGCAGAAGAAGCCCCGGCUAACUCCGUG